rnacentral:rRNA from 1 species
GACGAACGCUGGCGGCAUGCCUAAUACAUGCAAGUCGAGCGAACAGAUGGAGUGCUUGCACUUCUGACGUUAGCGGCGAACGGGUGAGUAACACGUAAGGAAUCUACCUAUAAGCGGGGGAUAACAUUCGGAAACGGGUGCUAAUACCGCAUAAUAUCUUCUUCCGCAUGGAAGAAGAUUGAAAGACGGCUCUGCUGUCACUUAUAGAUGACCUUGCGGUGCAUUAGUUAGUUGGUGGGGUAACGGCCUACCAAGACGAUGAUGCAUAGCCGCACUGAGAGGGUGAUCGGCCACAUUGGGACUGAGACACGGCCCAAACUCCUACGGGAGGCAGCAGUAGGGAAUCUUCCGCAAUGGGCGAAAGCCUGACGGAGCAAUGCCGCGUGAGUGAAGAAGGCCUUCGGGUCGUAAAACUCUGUUAUAAGAGAAGAACAAAUUGUAGAGUAACUGCUACAGUCUUGACGGUAUCUUAUCAGAAAGCCACGGCUAACUUCGUGCCAGCCGCCGCCGUAA